AGUGAACGCUGGCGGUAGGCCUAACACAUGCCAGUCGAACGGCAGCACAGGAGAGCUUGCUCUCUAGGUGGCGAGUGGCGGACGGGUGAGGAAUACAUCGGAAUCUGCCCAGUCGUGGGGGAUAACGUAGGGAAACUUACGCUAAUACCGCAUACGACCUUCGGGUGAAAGAGGGGGAUCGCAAGACCUCUCGCGAUUGGAUGAGCCGAUGUCGGAUUAGCUAGUUAGCGGGGUAAUGGCCCACCAAGGCGACGAUCCGUAGCUGGUCUGAGAGGAUGAUCGGCCACACUGGAACUGAGACACGGUCCAGACUCCUACGGGAGGCAGCAGUGGGGAAUAUUGGACAAUGGGCGCAAGCCUGAUCCAGCCAUACCGCGUGGGUGAAGAAGGCCUUCGGGUUGUAAAGCCCUUUUGUUGGGAAAGAAAUCUUUCAGGCUAAUACCCUGGGAGGAUGACGGUACCCAAAGAAUAAGCACCGGCUAACUUCGUG
rnacentral:rRNA from 1 species